rnacentral:rRNA from 1 species
AUUGAACGCUGGCGGCAUGCUUUACACAUGCAAGUCGAACGGUAGACCCUUUCGGGGGUUGAGAGUGGCGAACGGGUGAGUAAUGCAUCGGAACGUGCCCAGUCGUGGGAGAUAACGCAGCGAAAGUUGUGCUAAUACCGCAUACGACCUGAGGGUGAAAGCGGGGGACCGGUAACGGCCUCGCGCGAUUGGAGCGGCCGAUGUCUGAUUAGCUAGUUGGUGAGGUAAAGGCUCACCAAGGCGACGAUCAGUAGCGGGUCUGAGAGGAUGAUCCGCCACACUGGGACUGAGACACGGCCCAGACUCCUACGGGAGGCAGCAGUGGGGAAUUUUGGACAAUGGGGGCAACCCUGAUCCAGCCAUGCCGCGUGCGGGAAGAAGGCCUCGGUUGUAACGACUUCGGUACAGAAGAAAUACGCACGGGCGUAAUACCCUGUGUGGAUGACGGUACUGUAAGAAGAAGACACCGGCUAACUACGUGCCAGCAGCCGCGGUAAAACU